rnacentral:sRNA from 1 species
GGAGGAGUGGACAACCGCCAUCCAGACUGUGGCCGACGGCCUCAAGAAGCAGGAGGAGGAGGAGAUGGACUUCCGGUCGGGCUCACCCAGUGACAACUCAGGGGCUGAAGAGAUGGAGGUGUCCCUGGCCAAGCCCAAGCACCGCGUGACCAUGAACGAGUUUGAGUACCUGAAGCUGCUGGGCAAGGGCACUUUUGGCAAGGUGAUCCUGGUGAA